GUGUGUGGAGGCAGUGUUAUAGACACGGGGCUGUGUCUUUGCAGUGUCUGUGUGGAGGCAGUGUUAUAGACGCGGGGCUGUGUCUUUGCAUUGUCUGUGUGGAGGCAGUGUUAUAGACGCGGGGCUGUGUCUGUGCAGUGCGUAUGGGGAGGCAGUGUUAUAGACACUGGGCUGUGUGUGUGGAGGCAGUGUUAUAGACGCUGGGCUAAGUGUGUGGAGGUAGUGUUAUAGACACGGGGCUGUGUGUGGAGGCAGUGUUAUAGACGCGGGGCUGUGUCUGUGCAGUGUGCGUGUGGAGGCAGUGUUAUAGACACUGGGCUGUGUCUGUGCAGUGUGUGUGUGGAGGCAGUGUUAGAGACACGGGGCGUUGUUUGUGCAGUGAGUGUGGGGAGGCAGUGUUAUAGACACGGGGCUGUGUCUGUGCAGUGUGUGUGUGGAGGCAGUGUUAUAGACGUAGGGCUGUGUCUGCAGUGUGUGUGUGGAGGCAGUGUUAUAGGCACGGGGAUGUGUGUGUGGAGGCAGUGUUAUAGACACAGGGCGUUGUUUGUGCAGUGAGUGUGGGGAGGCAGUGUUAUAGACACGGGCUGUAUCGGUGCAGUGUGUGUGGGGAGGCAGUGUUAUCGACACGGGGCUGUGUCUGUGCAGUGUGUGUGGGGAGGCAGUGUUCUCGACGAGGGGCUGUGUGUGUGCAGUGUGUGUGUGGAGGCAGUGUUAUAGACACGGGGCUGUGUCUGUGCAGUGUGUGUGGGGCAGUAGUGUUAUAGACGCGGGGCUGUGUCUGUGCAGUGUGUGUGGGGAGGCAGUGUUACAGACACGGGGCUGUGUCUGUGCAGUGUGUGUGGGGAGGCAGUGUUUUAGACACGGGGCUGUGUCUGUGCAGUGUGUGUGGGGAGGUAGUGUUAUCGACACGGUGCUGUGUGUGUGCAGUGUGUGUGUGUGGAGGCAGUGUUAUAGACGAGGGCCUGUGUCUGUGCAGUCUGUGUGUGGGGAGGCAGUGUUAUAGACGUGAGGCUGUGUAUUUGCAGUGUGUGUGGAGGCAGUGUUAUAGACACGGGGCUGUGUCUGUGCAGUGUGUGUGUGGAGGCUGUGUUUUAGACACGGGGCUGUGUCUGUGCAGUGUGUGUGUGUGUGGAGGCAGUGUUAUUGACACGGGGCUGUGUCUGUGCAGUGUGUGUGUGGAGGCAGUGUUAUAGACACGGGGCUGUGUCUGUGCAGUGUGUGUGGGGUGGUAGUGUUGUAGACAUGGGGCUGUGUGUGUGCAGUGUGUGUGGGGAGUCUGUUAUAGACGAUGGGCUGUGUUUGUGCAGUGUGUGUGGGGAGGCAGUGUUAUCGACACGGGGCUGUGUAUGUGCAGUGUGUGUGGAGGCAGUGUUAUAGACACGGGCCUGUGUAUGUGCAGUGUUAUAGACACGGGGCUGUGUCUGUGCAGUGUGUGCGGGGAGGCAGUGUUAUUGACACGGGGCUGUGUGUGUGGAGGCAGUGUUAUAGACACGGGGCUGUGUCUGUGCAGUGUGUGUGUGGAGGCAGUGUUAUAGACAUGGGGCUGUGUCUGUGCAGUGUGUGUGUGGAGGUAGUGUUUUCGACCGGGGCUGUGUCUGUGCCUUUUUCGUGGGGAGGCAGUGUUACAGACACGGGGCUGUGUCUGUGCAGUGUGUGUGGGGAGGCAGUGUUUUAAACACGGGGCUGUGUCUGUGCAGUGUGUGUGGGGAGGCAGUGUUAUAGACACGGCGCUGUGUCUGUGCAGUGUGUGUGGAGGCAGUGUUAUCGACACGGGGCUGUGUAUGUGCAGUGUUAUAGACACGGGG